UCAGGAUGAACGCUAGCUACAGGCUAACACAUGCAAGUCAGGGGCAGCAUGUGGUUGCUGCAACCAAUGAUGGCGACCGGCGGCACGGGUGAGUAACGCGUAUCCAACCUCCCCUUAGUAGGGGAUAGCCCGGCGAAAGUCGGAUUAAUACUCUAUGUUCUUCAAUGCGGACAUCUAAGUUGAAGCAAAGAUUUAUCGCUAAGGGAUGGGGAUGCGUCUGAUUAGGUUGCAGGCGGGGUAACGGCCCACCUGGCCUACGAUCAGUAGGGGUUCUGAGAGGAAGGUCCCCCACACUGGUACUGAGACACGGACCAGACUCCUACGGGAGGCAGCAGUGAGGAAUAUUGGUCAAUGGGCGCGAGCCUGAACCAGCCAAGUAGCGUGCAGGACGAACCUGCCCUAUGGGUUGUAAACUGCUUUUAUCAGGGAAUAAAGUGAGGCACGCGUGCCUUUUUGUUAUGUACCUGAUGAAUAAGGACCGGCUAAUUCCGUGCCAGCAGCUGC
rnacentral:rRNA from 1 species